CGCACAUUGCGCCCCUUGGUAUUCCGGGGGGCAUGCCUGUUCGAGCGUCAUUUCAACCCUCAAGCUCCGGCUUGGUUUUGGGCUCUGCCGGUCGCGGCUGGCCUUAAAAACAGUGGCGGUGGCAGUCGAGCUCUACGCGUAGUAGCUAUAUUUUCGCGAUUGAGUCUCGCUGCGCGCUGGCCAGCAACCCCUAAUUUUCUAUGGUUGACCUCGGAUCAGGUAGGGAUACCCGCUGAACUUAA
rnacentral:misc_RNA from 1 species